CUGGGCUCAGCUGAGAGGAUGUGUGGAGAGAUUUGGAUUUUGCCAAUUUCCAUUAUCUUAUGGAAACCAUAUGGAUACAAAUGAUUAAUUUGAUUUUAAGAGCCACCAUUAUUUACUUUUUAAUAAAAUAGGGUACAAAAAUAAAUAUCUACUGAGUCCAUCAUUUUAAAAUCUCUGGAUUAGAAGCAUAGUAUGCAGGAGACCUAUUCCAACGGGCUCAAGAGCUGAGUGGCAACUCUCAUUUCUCCCAGCUCUCUGGAGUAGAAGAGCUAUUGCAAGUAGAUCUGGCAAUGAGGAAAUUUUGGCAGAUUCCACCUCUCUCAGCUCCAUGCAGCAGAAGAUUAUAUGGCGGCAGUUGGAGAGAGUGAGUAACGGAUAGGUAGGUAUAAAGAGAUAAAGUUGCCGGGCGCGGUGGCUCACGCCUGUAAU
rnacentral:lncRNA from 10 species